rnacentral:lncRNA from 1 species
GAAUCUGAAUAAAGCUUGGAUCGCGAUCAACUCUUUAAUCCUUUUCUUGAUCUUUUUCCUCUUUUCUUUUCUUGCUCUCCUUUCUUUGGUUAUGCAGCAACCAAGCUCUAAAAAUCUGCCACCAAGAAGGGAUGUUGAAGCUUCUUUGGGCAUUGGAAGAUGGGGACGCCCAACUCCCUUGGGUGUGGGAACCAAGAGGGAGAAGAGAGGGAGGCGUGGGGAGUUUAUGGUAGGCAUCG